GACGAACGCUGGCGGCGUGCUUAACACAUGCAAGUCGAACGGAAAGGCCCUGCUUUUGUGGGGUGCUCGAGUGGCGAACGGGUGAGUAACACGUGAGUAACCUGCCCUUGACUUUGGGAUAACUUCAGGAAACUGGGGCUAAUACCGGAUAGGAGCUCCUGCUGCAUGGUGGGGGUUGGAAAGCUUCGGCGGUUGGGGAUAGACUCGCGGCUUAUCAGCUUGUUGGUGGGGUAGUGGCUUACCAAGGCUUUGACGGGUAGCCGGCCUGAGAGGGUGACCGGCCACAUUGGGACUGAGAUACGGCCCAGACUCCUACGGGAGGCAGCAGUGGGGAAUAUUGCACAAUGGGCGGAAGCCUGAUGCAGCAACGCCGCGUGCGGGAUGACGGCCUUCGGGUUGUAAACCGCUUUCGCCUGUGACGAAGCGUGAGUGACGGUAAUGGGUAAAGAAGCACCGGCUAACUACGUG
rnacentral:rRNA from 1 species